UUGCAGGUGACAGGUGGAGACGAGGUACAUGCGGCGACGAGUGAAGAACAGGGAUAGGAUGCCAUGCCGACGAACCGUGGGACGGUGAAGGGUGGAUCAAGGCUCGCGUUCGAGGGACAGGCGAUCGUGCGGUGUACGUCUACUGUACCUGGCUACACGGCGAGAGGACGUCAAGGGAGGUUUUCGGAUUACACCACAAAAUCCGGGGUUCGCUGGUUGAGCCAUAAAGCCAUGCAUCGUACCGGGACGCUCGUGCGGCGAGCGUUGGCCGAAGAUGGAGAUUCCGGCGAUCGCGAUACGAUUUCGGAUGGUCGUGCGGCGACAUCGCGAGGAUCACAUCACGGAGAUGGAGGAAUCGCGGACAUCGCGGAAUUUGUCAUGGAGGACGUAACUGGAAUUUACGCACCUACGUUAAAUUUAUUUAGCGUAGGGGGUUAUGUGUAAAUAGGCUGUGCCACCCUAAGGAUAUAAAUACGUGGCACCUAGGGUUGAGAGAGUUCGAGCCCUUUUGCUACAGGCGGCGCUACAGUACUCGCGAUUACUGUUCAUCGCGGUUAGUUACUGUUCAUCGCGGUUACUGUUCACGCGCGGUACUGUUCAUCGUCGCAGGUACUGUUCAUCUCUCUCUAGUCUAGCCUAGGGUUUCAAUCUAAGUGAGGGAUUUUUAUUGAUCUCUCCAAUUAAGAGAGGGAGGAUGUUUGGGCGGAGGCUAGAUGCACUUUUGUAAGCACAUUACUUGUCUCAAUUUUUCAUAUUAGUGAAUUAAUCUAUGUGCUUGUGCGUCAUGUUGUGCUGCGGUUAAGAUUGAUUUGAUCCAUCUAAAAUCAUGCUAGGGCAUCUUAUUAGAGCUUAAUCUAUUCUCGUCAUUGUCUGAUACAGUCUGCUUGUUCCUUUAAUAUCUCAAGAUCCGAAAGUCCGAUUGACAUGAUUCCAGUUGGGUUAGUUGCAUAAUUUUGUAUAGAUUUUUCUGUCAAAUUUUUAGGUUGAUCGGUCUUACGGAUUUUCGUCCAUAUCCUUUUUAUUAAGGAAACAGUAUUCUGUCCAGAUUUGAAAAACGUGAUUUAAUUAAGUUUUGAGAGGAAGGGGAAGUGUUAAACUUUAUUUUUUUGAACUUGCGCCCAUUCACCCCCCCUCUGGUCGCCGUUUCGGUCCUUCAAUUGGUAGCAGAGCCAGUUAAGGUUUUCUAUAUCUUAAUCGGUUACGAAAACCAUGGCGACCUCCGGAAAAUUCGAUACACGCGCUCCGCAUUUUGAUGGUACUGAUUAUGACUAUUGGCAAUCACGUAUGAAAGCUUAUUUGAAGGGGAAGGGGAUGAAUCUGUGGAGGAUCACACAAAACUCUACAUAUGUGAUUCCUGCAGAGGACCCUACUGAUCCUGCUGCUGUUGCUCUUCUUGAAGCAAAUAAUCGGGUUGUUGACAUUUUGCAAGCUUCUCUUUGUAAACCCGAGUAUGAUCGUAUUUCCAGUGAGGAGCUAGCUUUUCAGAUCUGGGAUAAAUUAAAGAAAUAUCAUGAAGGCUCCAACGCUGUGAAAACACGAAAAUUUGAAAUUUAUAGAAAAGAAUUUGAUGCUUUUUCUCAGUUGCCUGGUGAAUCUAUUGAAGAUCUUUUUGCAAGGUUUCAAGUGAUUGUAAACAAAAUGAAAGCCCUUAAUAAGGAUAUGCCUUACAAUGAUCAUGCAAGGGCUCUCAGAUUGUUGCAUUCACUUACUGAUGAGUGGGAUAUGAAGGUAGAGGCAAUCGUUGAGUCCGCUGGCUAUGAGACUCUUACCACUGACGAGCUUUUCAGUAAGCUUAAGUCAAAAGAGAUUGAUGUCCUCUCCAAGCGCAAAUUGAAAAAUCCCACUAGCGCUUCUUCUUCUGAUGUUCCUAUGGCUUUGGUUUCUGGGAGUAAAACUAACGCUAACACUAAUCCAGUUCCUCCAAGCUUUGCCUUGUCUUCUUUGUGUCAUGUUGCAGAUGAUGAGUUGGAGACGCUAGAUGAUGAUCAGUUGGUGCUGCUCUCCAACAAAUUCAAGCGAGUCUAUGAGAACCGACGCAACAGAAGACGCUCAGAAGGAUGUUUCAGCUGUGGUGAGCGAGGCCACUUUGCAGCUGAUUGCCCGAACAAGAGAACAUUUGAUCAGGGCAACAACUCCAGGCGCCAGGAACAACCAAGGGAGAAGAAUAAGAAGGGUGACAGGCGCAUGAAGAAGAAUGGCCAGAAGUACACUGAUAAGCAAAUUAAAAGGGCUGCACAUGUUUUGUUUUCUUCUCUUGGUGAUUUUGUUUCAGAUGCUUCUUCGAACUCAAGUGAUUCAGACUCCGAGAAUGAGCUGCCCAAAAAGAAAACUGAUGGACUCUGCUUCCUCGCCGACAUCAAGGGAGGGAUGUGCACCAUGGCCUUAGAAGAUGAUGAAGCUUCUAAUCUCAGCGACAACUCUUCUGACAAUGAGGUACAAAAUUCAGCAGAAGAAGAAAUUAAAGAAUUGACAAAAAUUAUUGAUAAACAAAACAAGAUUUUAGCAAAACUUAAGGCUGAGUAUGAUAGAGUCAUCUCUGAAUUAAAAGACUUAAAAGAUGCUACUCCUGCUGAAGUAGAAUGUGAAGAGUGCUCUGUGCAUAUGGUUUCACUUUCUGAAUUGCAAUCUAAGCAUGCCUUCAUUGUUGACAAAUUCGAAAAUGCUAAGAUUGAGUUAGAAAAACUUCACUCUGGUUCGGCUUCACUUGACGCUUGUGCUUCUUGUCCAACCUUGAAAUCUGAAUUGAAUAAUGCUAAAUCUCGUGUUAUUGAGUUGGAGAAACACUCUUGUCCUGCUUUGCCUUCCUGUUUAACUUGCCCUACUUUUGUUGCUGAAAAUAAUGAUUUGAGGGUGAAGUUUUCUGCUUUGGAAGAAGAAAAUAAACAUUUGAGAGUGAUUCUUGGUUGGUGCUCUAUUCGUGAACCUCAGAUUGGUAUGUCAAUUGCUCAAAUUAAACGGAGUGAGCGUUUUGGACCUGGAUAUGAUUUGAAACAUGUUUUUGGUGAAAAGAGUGGACCUCCUAUUUCUGAAAAGAAUCCACCUUUGGCUAAGUACACUGGACCACCUCCUAGGAAAGAGGGUCCAUGUGUCACAUCUGAGGGGUUGUUAGUUGAACCAUCGAGAUCUGUUCCAAAAAAGCAGGUUUGGGUGCCUAAACCUAAACACUUCAAUGUUGCACAGAACGCUAAGCCAUCUACUUCGCCAUGUGUUCACACUGCUAGACCUAAGCAUAACUUUGUUGCUUCUGGUUCUAAGGCUAAGGCUUCUUUUGCUCCUUCACAUAAGCAUUACCAUUGUGAUUUUUGUGAUCGUGAUGGUCAUCUCUAUGGGUUUUGCUUCCGUCGGAAGCGUGCUGAGAGACGUGAGCAGUACUCUGCACGUGGUACUCAUGAUCGUCCUAUUUUGGGUCGUGAACCUGCUAGUUGGUCUUUUGGUUUUCGCCCACAUACUCGUGCUCCUGCCCCACGUCGGAAUGACAGGCUAUGUUUUCCCCCUCGUGGUUCUCGUCAUUCUUUCGAGAGGUUUGAUUUUGCUAAUGCCUCUUUUGAGCAAGUGGCCCAACACUGGUUUUCUCUACAUUAUCCUAACCCCAGUGUUGAGUCAUUAGCUCACUCUUGUGUUCGCCAUUGACUGCAGGAUGGAGGCGAGGAGAACAUAUGGAUAAUGGAUUCCGGUUGUUCGCGCCACAUGACCGGAGAUGACAAAUGGUUCUCCAGCCUCACCCCCGCGAGCGGUAAGGAAUAUAUUACAUUCGGGGAUAAUAGUAAAGGUAAGGUUUUGGCGCAUGGCUGCAUCAAGGUAACUGAUAAAUUCAUACUAAAGGAUGUCGCGAAAGUACAAAAUUUGCACUAUAAUCUGCUUUCUGUCUCACAACUUCUUGAAGAUGAUUUUGAAGUGCGUUUUAAGAAAGGCAAUUCGCGAGUUCUUGAUUCUACUGGCAACCUUGUUUGCAAGAUUUCUCCCUUUGGACGAGUUUUUAAGGUUGAUUUUUCUAAAUCUUUUGGACAGACUCGUUGUUUGGUUGCUCGUGGUUUCCCUGAUAUUUGGAAGUGGCAUCGUCGGUUGGGCCACUUGAGCUUUGAUUUGCUUUGUCGCUUGAGUUCGAUGGAUUUAAUUGAUGGUUUGCCAAAACUCAAGUUUGAAAAAGAUUUAAUUUGUGCUCCCUGCAAACAUGGAAAAAUGGUUGCUGCUUCCCAUGCACCUGUGACGCAGGUGAUGACGAGACGACCGGGUGAACUGUUACAUAUGGACAUUGUUGGUCCAGCCCGUGUUCGGUCUGCUGGUGGGAAGUGGUAUGUGCUCGUUGUUGUGGAUGAUUUUUCUCGAUACUCAUGGGUGUUCUUUCUGGAAUCUAAGGAUGACGCCUUUUCACAUGUUCAUGAUCUUGUUCUGAAGCUGAAAAAUGAGUUGUCAAAUAAUGCCGUUAGAGCAAUUCGCAGUGACAAUGGUACGGAAUUCAAGAACUCUCGUAUGAAAGUUUUUUGUGCAGAACAUGGUCUUGAUCAUCAAUUUUCUUCUCCUUAUGUUCCUCCUCAGAAUGGUGUUGUUGAAAGGAAAAAUCGCACGCUUGUUGAAAUGGCUAGGACAAUGCUAGAUGAACAUAAAACCCCUAGACGUUUCUGGGCUGAGGCAAUCAACACCGCUUGCUAUGUUGCUAAUAGAAUUUUUCUGAGAGCUUUCCUGAAGAAAACAUCAUAUGAGUUGAGAUUUGGACGUCCUCCCAAAGUUUCCCACUUUCGAGUGUUUGGUUGCAAGUGCUUUAUUCUAAAAAAGGGAAACUUGGAUAAGUUUGAGUCUCGUUCUUCUGAUGGGUUAUUUCUGGGGUAUGCUUUGCAAGGGCGUGCUUACCGUGUGCUUAAUAUUGACACUAACCGCAUCGAGGAGACAUGUGAGGUCACCUUCGACGAGACAAUGCCUUGUUUUUCUUUUGCUUUUGAAUGUGCAGGUGAUGAUGAGAUCGGGCAGGAUAUUUUUGAGGAUGAGCAAGAGGAAGAUGGAUACAACAAUGACGACGACGAUGACACCCCGCCUGUGAUGCAGGGGGAGCCUGGCGCACAGCUCGAGCAGGCACCCUCCACCACUUUGGAGGAUGGACCAUUGCCUACACGUACAUCUACAGCAGCGCCUGCAGCUUCACCGACUUUUGAUCAGGUACCGGUUGCAGUUGAAGGAGAGGCGAUUUCAGAACGUACAGCACCACGCCACAUUCAGAAUCGCCACCCUCCUGAAAAAAUGAUAGGUAACUUGAAUGAGCGAACGACACGGAACAGAGGUAUGAAAAACAAAAAUUAUUGUGCUUUUGCUCAUACUGCUUUUGUUGCCUCUUUUGAACCCCGAGAUGUUGGACAUGCUUUAUCUGAUUCUAACUGGGUCAAUGCCAUGCAUGAGGAGUUAGAAAAUUUUGAACGGAAUCAAGUUUGGGUUUUGGUUGAUCCUCCUCCUUCUUGUAAACCAAUUGGGACUAAAUGGGUUUUUAAGAACAAACAAGGAGAAGAUGGUCAUGUUGUCAGGAACAAAGCCAGAUUAGUGGCUCAGGGGUUUUGUCAAAAGGAGGGUAUUGAUUAUGGUGAAACUUUUGCUCCUGUUGCUCGUUUAGAAGCCAUUCGUAUCUUGCUUGCAAUGGCUGCUUCACAUGGUUACAAGCUUUAUCAAAUGGAUGUAAAAAGUGCUUUUCUGAAUGGUUUUAUAGAAGAAGAAGUUUAUGUCAAACAACCGCCUGGUUUUGAACACCCCAAUUUUCCUGAUCGUGUUUUUAAGUUGCAAAAGGCUUUAUAUGGUUUGAAGCAAGCACCUCGUGCUUGGUAUGCUAGAUUGAAAACUUUUCUACUUAAAAACGGAUUCAAAAUGGGUUCGGUUGAUAAAACUCUUUUUCUCCUCAGGCAAGGCAAUGACACUUUAAUAGUUCAGAUUUAUGUGGAUGAUAUCAUUUUCGGUGGUUCCUCUCAUGUUCUUGUGAAAAAGUUUGCAGAUGUGAUGAGCAAAGAAUUUGAGAUGUCUAUGAUGGGCGAGCUGAAAUUCUUCCUUGGCUUACAAAUUAAACAAACUUCGGAAGGAACAUUUGUACAUCAGGGAAAGUACACGAAGGAUGUCCUGCAGAAGUUUGCGAUGGAUGAUGCAAAGCCAAUUUCUACGCCCAUGCCGACUAGCGCGGCUUUGGAUGCUGAUGAGAACGGAGAGCCCGUGGAUCAGAAGGAUUAUCGAAGCAUGAUCGGGUCACUGCUGUACUUGACUGCAACAAGGCCGGAUAUACACUUUGCUGUGUGUAUGUGUGCUCGUUUUCAGGCGUCCCCCAGGAUUUCUCAUCGUCAGGCGGUGAAGCGCAUCAUGAGGUAUCUUCGAUUUACUCCUGAAUUUGGCCUUUGGUACUCUACUGCUUCGACUCUCAGUUUGUGUGGUUAUUCGGAUGCUGAUUUUGCUGGGUGUCGUUUGGAUAGAAAGUCUACUUCGGGUACUUGCCAAUUUUUGGGUUCUUCGCUUGUUUCUUGGUCCUCCAGAAAACAAUCCAAUGUUGCUCAAUCUACUACAGAGGCCGAGUAUGUUGCUGCUGCUAGUUGCUGUUCUCAGCUUUUAUGGAUGAUAGCUACCCUUCGCGAUUUUGGUUUGUCGUUUUCUCGCGUUCCUCUCUUGUGUGACAGCACUAGUGCUAUAAGUGUUGCAAAGAAUCCUGUGCUUCAUUCUAAGACGAAACAUAUUGAGGUUCGUCAUCAUUUUCUGAGGGAUCAUGUUGAGAAGGGUGAUAUUGAGCUUAAAUACAUUGAUACUAGUCAGCAACUUGCUGAUAUUCUGACUAAACCACUCGAUCAAACCACGUUUGCACGUUUGCGUGGUGAGUUCGGGGUGUGUUACCCAUUUUAGUAUCAUUAUGAGUUGCUUCGGUUACAUAUGCUUUAUACUUGUUUUGGCUAGUUUGCGACCGAUGCUUUUGGAGAGGUUUAAAUGCUUUGCUUGACCAGUUUUUUUUUUGAAAACAACAUAUAUAUAUGUAUACUUCAAAAACUAUGUUGGGCUCUACUUGCUUUUCUGGAUUUAGUGACUUGUUGAAUACUAGACAUAUAUCUUGCUCAUGGUUCGGUUGUCAGCUUCUUUUAAUGAUUUUUCACUGCAAAUGUAACUCACAAUGCAAGUUUUAACUCGGAAGUGCAUACCAUGGUUGUGAGCAAAAACUCUGAAUUCCCAUAUCUCUGCUAUCUCGCUCAUGAUCUGCUUGCUUUACUGAGAAUUUACAUAUGGGCACAACUCUGAUUUUCCCAUGUCUCUGCUGGUUCUUGCUCAUAAGCAAAAUUAAACAACCUGGCUGAGCACAAUUCUUGCUUCCCAUAUCCCUGCUUGUCAUGCUCAUAAAAGCCAGAAUUAAAUAUGACAAGUGCAUUUGUGGGCGUUGAAGUGAACUUUGAUUGAAGUUGUGUAUCCGUCGUGUGAGCUUGAUAUAUGUUUCUGUCUUCAGCUUGGCACUAAUUUUGAAAUAUGCAUGCUUUUGCCUGGUUAAUUGGUUUUCACAACGACUUUAAUUCUAAAUUUCUAUUGGUCAUGGCAUUGUGUUGCUUCUCUGGAUGGCUAGUGUUGUUAGUUGGCUAUUAUAAGUAUUUGACAUAUGUCUCAGAAGCUUCUACUUGUGCUCUCUCACAUAGUUCUCGAAAUUGAUUCUUUGCAUUUUAAUCUUGAUGGAGUGCUUUGUCAACAAGGGGGAGAGUGAGUAGCACAAAUUCAUUUUUGCAAGAGGAGUUUGAUUUCGUUUUUUGCUGAGACUUGACGUGCUUGUUUUGAGGGGGAGCUUUGCUGAAAGUGUUGAGUUUUGCUGCUGAGAUUGUUUUUUGAAGAUUGAUAUGGUUUUUGAUUCACCUUGGGAGAGUGAUUUUUUAUCUUGAUUGUGUUGAGCCUAGUUUUUUCUCUAGCCCAUGUCUUUGGGGAUCAAGAUUGUUUCUUUUUCCUUCUUUCUAUUUUCUUUUUUAGCUCGAAUAAAUUUGUGCGGUGUGGUGUUGUCAAUGCACUCAUCAAGGGGGAGAUUGAGAUGCCGGUGGGCUAGUACCUUGGUGAUGAGCGAUUGACAACACGGUGUGCGUGUGACGUGUCUCUUGGCAGGUGUGGUUGCAGGUGACAGGUGGAGACGAGGUACAUGCGGCGACGAGUGAAGAACAGGGAUAGGAUGCCAUGCCGACGAACCGUGGGACGGUGAAGGGUGGAUCAAGGCUCGCGUUCGAGGGACAGGCGAUCGUGCGGUGUACGUCUACUGUACCUGGCUACACGGCGAGAGGACGUCAAGGGAGGUUUUCGGAUUACACCACAAAAUCCGGGGUUCGCUGGUUGAGCCAUAAAGCCAUGCAUCGUACCGGGACGCUCGUGCGGCGAGCGUUGGCCGAAGAUGGAGAUUCCGGCGAUCGCGAUACGAUUUCGGAUGGUCGUGCGGCGACAUCGCGAGGAUCACAUCACGGAGAUGGAGGAAUCGCGGACAUCGCGGAAUUUGUCAUGGAGGACGUAACUGGAAUUUACGCACCUACGUUAAAUUUAUUUAGCGUAGGGGGUUAUGUGUAAAUAGGCUGUGCCACCCUAAGGAUAUAAAUACGUGGCACCUAGGGUUGAGAGAGUUCGAGCCCUUUUGCUACAGGCGGCGCUACAGUACUCGCGAUUACUGUUCAUCGCGGUUAGUUACUGUUCAUCGCGGUUACUGUUCACGCGCGGUACUGUUCAUCGUCGCAGGUACUGUUCAUCUCUCUCUAGUCUAGCCUAGGGUUUCAAUCUAAGUGAGGGAUUUUUAUUGAUCUCUCCAAUUAAGAGAGGGAGGAUGUUUGGGCGGAGGCUAGAUGCACUUUUGUAAGCACAUUACUUGUCUCAAUUUUUCAUAUUAGUGAAUUAAUCUAUGUGCUUGUGCGUCAUGUUGUGCUGCGGUUAAGAUUGAUUUGAUCCAUCUAAAAUCAUGC
rnacentral:lncRNA from 1 species